UACAGAGGUCCCAAGCGUUGUUCGGAUUCACUGGGCGUAAAGGGUGCGUAGGUGGCCAGGUAAGUCUGAUGUGAAAUCUCGGAGCUCAACUCCGAAACUGCAUUGGAUACUAUCUGGCUCGAGUCCGGAAGAGGCGAGUGGAAUUCCUGGUGUAGCGGUGAAAUGCGCAGAUAUCAGGAGGAACACCGGUGGCGAAGGCGGGUCUCUGGGCCGAUACUGACGCUGAGGAGCGAAAGCGUGGGGAGCGAACAGG
rnacentral:rRNA from 1 species